CGGCACUUGACAACUUACUCACGAAUCUUUCACGAUCUUGUAAGCUCAAGUAAGCCUUUUAAGACUAGAUCGCUAAGAGAAUGCUUAAGGAAAGACUUAGAAAGAACAAAGAGAGUUUUGGAAGAAGGCUUUUGUAUUGCUUUGGAAGAUUGCUUACAACUUGGAUGGUUGGAUGCCUUGCAAAUGAAUGGCACCCUCUAUUUAUACUAAAUCCUAAGGACUAAAGUGCAAAUAAAAAUUACUUACAAGUCCCUAAGAUAUUUACACAAAAGCCCCUCUUCUAGAAUUCUCUACACACUCUAGAGAAUUCUAAGGCUUUCUUUGGAAACUAUCUAAAUUAUUCUAGAGAAUUCUAAGGAAUUCUCUAGCCUUCUUGAAUAAUCUAAAGGGUUCUAGAGUCUUCCGGAAACCUCUCCACAACUCUAGACCCUUCCGCCCCUAUCCGGACGCAAAAUUCUACUGCGAAGUGGCGGGACGUGACACUAGGAUAACUAAUUUUGAGGUAAAUUAUCUUAUGAUUUUAUUUCAACCAAAUAUAGAAUAUUCAUUCUAAACUUAAUCUCAAAUUAAUUAUCCCUUAUCCCUUCUACCAAACAAACCCUCAAAGUGUUUCAACAGGACAAUUGUUUGUCUAUAAAAUCACAUUUCUUUUUAGCUUGUCAUAAAUUUCAAUUUAGAUACACUUACAUUUUGUAUUUUCAAUGUAAGCUAAACUGUAAAAUGAUUCAAUUGGCAAGAAUUGCAGUAUAUAUAUAACUAGAAAUAACACAAAUAAUCCAUUUACUUAUCAAUAAUUUACCCCAAAUCCUGCUACUAGUACAAGAAUAAAAUAUUGAGAUUUUUGUAAUUUGUUUUUAUGCAUUUUAAGCGCAUUAUACACAUCUUAAGAUUGUAACGUGAAGUCUAACAACUCUUUUAUCAUAUGGUAAGAUGAAUGAUCACUCUACCAAAGGUCUUAAGUCCAAACGUUUUAAAUGAAAUAAGUUUUAGUAGAAAGGCCUUCAGAAAUUUAAAUUAAUUGACUCAAUAAAAUAUGAAUAUCAAAUGAUUAUAAAUUUAUAUUACAAAGAAAUUAUCAUUGUUUUUAAUUUGAUAUAUUAUAUAAUCAAUCUAUUUAUUUAUUAAUUCAUCUUAUUAACACAAAUAUAUUAUUUAAAUAAAAUUUAGUAAAUUAAUUAUUAUUAUUUUCUAGUAAAUUUAUUAUUGGUAUACUAAUAAUAUCUUUUUGAAAGUUUCAAGGAGCAUGAUUGAUAUUUGACCUAUUUGCAUUCCCAUACUUUUAAUCAAUCCACGUCAAUAAUCUUGAGCCGUUUGUUGUAAAAAUGUGUAGUCCCCAGUUGAUACCUUUGUUUGAUAUUUUGGGCAAGUUGGCCAUGCCUUUUUCUUUCCACGUGGUUAAACUUCACCCCUUGGUUCUUGGAAACCACUAUCCAAUUGCCUAGUUUCCUCCAAAUGGCUCAAACUUUUUAAAUACUCUUUUUGUCCCUAAUUACUUGUUUAUUUUUGAAUUGACACAUCUAUUAAAAAAAUAAUUAAUGACAUAGUGAAUUUACCAUUUUACCCCUAUUGAUUAUGAAGUGGAUGAAAAGUUCUACAUUUUUCAAAGUAAUUAGUUAUUUAAUUGAGGGUAUAAUAGGUAAAAAAAAUUGUUAUUUCUUGAUUUGUCAAAAUAGAAGUAAUUAGAGACAACUAUAAAAGGAAAAAUGGACAAGUAAUUAGGGAUAACAAUGGGGCGGAGCAGAUGCAGAGCGGGGCAAAUUUGAAGCUAUGUGAAGUGGGCGGAUUUAAGGUGGUGCAGGGCGGAGAAGGAUGUGGAAUGGAUUGAAGAGGUUAUUUUUAAAACUAAUGUGGGGUGGGGCGGGACGGAUAGUGGGCUUAUGCGAGUUCAAAUUUAAUUUUAACUAUUUACAUGUUAUAGGAGUGAUAGAGCAUUAUCUAUUAAGAUAGUUUCUUUAAAGUUACUAAAAAGAUAGAAAUGAAAAGGAAAAAUGACCUAAAUACACAAUUUAUUUUACUAUAUUCUCUAAAAUUUCCUACCAUUUGAAAAAAUUACAAAAAAUCUCUACUUUACGUGAUGUAUCAGUUGGAUACAUCAAUUUACGCGAUGUAUCUGUCGAAUAUCGAUCGGACACAUCACUUUACAAUGUAUUGGAACGUAAGCGAUGUAUCAGGACGUUACUUUACACGAUGUUUCAGUCGGAUACAUCACUUUACGCGAUGUAUCGGGACUUUGGGUGAUGUAUUCAAAAUCGAGACGUGAUGUAUCAUGACAUUGAAGGGUAUAUAUCUUAAACUAGAACGUGAUGUAUCGGGGCGUUUUGGGAUGUAUCUGAAUUUCACUAAAUUUAAGGGAUUUUUGUAAUUUAGAAAAGAGUAGAGAUAAAAUGUAAUUAGCUCUUAACACUGUGAGAUUUGUGUAAAAAUUACAAAUGAAAAUGGUUCAAUCAAAACAAAUGCAAUUUUUUACAUACUUCCAAAUUGACCUCUAGAAAAUAAAACUUUAAGUCAUUAUCCAUUAAAAUAAUAAAACUUAAUGAAAAAAUGAAUUUAUUUUUAUGAAUUUUAUUUUUAGUAUCAAACUUAACUAAAAAAUGAAAAUAUUAAAAAAAUUAUGCAAGACGGAUUCAUGCGGAGGGGGUGGGGGUGAGGGUGGGGGGUGGGGGGGGUCUAUGCAAUGAAACAAAUAUAUGUAUUAUAUUAUGUGGGGUGGAUUAAAAAAAAUUACGGGUUAAGCUCAACCCGCCUUGCUCCGCUCAAUUGUAAUCAUAUAUAUCAUAAUUAAAUGACAUUACAAUAAAUAUAUAUUUAUUAAUAUUAAUUAAUAUUUCUAUUAUCUAUGAAGAUGAUGACCUCUAAAAUUUUAAGAAAUUAUGCGAAAAUGAAAAUUAUUUAAAAGUUUUUAACUUCUAAAUGAAUAAUAUCAUAGACGUCAUCAAAAUUAUCAUCUUCUAAAAUCAAAUUUACUAGAAUAUUAUCAUCAUGUCUUAUCAUUAAGUUUAAAAAGUCAAGUAUGACACCAUCCGAGUAUUAGAAGAAGAGAGAUCACCUUUAUUUUUAUUUUUUUGAAUUAAUUCUAAUAAAGCUUGAUAAAUGCUCAGAUAUUUGGUAUUCAUUUUUUAAUAAUUUUUUUAUGCCACAAUAAUGACAAUUAUUUUGAGAACUUUUCUCAUUCUCCCUUUGAUGGUGAUGAUUAUUACCAUGAGGAUUAUUAUAUUGUUUCUUAUUCUUUAUCAUGUUUACGCAUAUUAUUAUGACUUCAAUUAUCAUUUUGUGUUAUUUCAAAUGAUUAAGUGCUUCUAUAAUAUUUGAUUUCGAUAAUGGAGCAGUUCUAGUUAGACGAGCUUCAUAAUUUUUUAGUAGAUGUUGCUCAGCUAAAAAAAAGUAUGAAAUUAAAUUAUAACACGUUCUUAAUCUCUUUUCAUAAUAUUAUUGUUGUAAUAUCAUAUUUGAGACAUGAAAUAUAGUAAGAAUUUUUUUCAGUAUUUCCUCAUCUUUUAUAUUUUCCCACAGAAUUUUAAUUGAAAAGUACUUAUGGAUGCGACAAAUAUUUCUCGGCAAAUUAAAUACAAUAUUUUAAGUAUACUAAGAAAUUUUAUAGAUACAAUUAGUAUAAAGUUUUCUUACUCAGCCCUCUCAAUUUUAAAAUCUAAAAAUAAAAACAAAUCUUUUACAAAGCGAACGCUUUCUCUAGAUGGUCUUAUGUGGCACUAAUUAAUUGAAAUCCUAAUGUGAGUAGAGAACGGAUCUAGAAUAGAUGCGGAUUUUUGGAAAUUUAAUUAGUAACUUUUUCACAAAUUUUGUAUAAAUAUUUAAAAAUAAAUAAAUAAUAAUAAUAAGAUUUUUAUUUUUAUUUUUAAAUAUUAAUACAAAAUUUGCGGAAAAGUUAUUGGAUUUCGAAAAAUGCACAUCCCUUCUAGAUCCAUUCUAUAUUCACAUUAGGAUAUCAAUAAUAAGCAAUUACUUGAUCCUACUAUAGUGAAGAAAUCCAGUUAAUUUAAGCUAGCUUAUCUUUCGUAUGGAGUUCGAUUAAAUUUCAAAAUCGUCUUUAAACGAGUAUCAAAUAUCAAGUGAAAAUAUCAAUAAGGAUUGUGGUAGAGUUGUGAAUACUUCUCCAUCAUUAAUCAAAGGUUUUGGGUUCGAGUCCUCCUGGUAUAGAGUCACCUUUGUUAUAGAGCGUUUUACUCCCAAUGUGAAACUUUUCUGCACAAAUUUAAUUUUAAUCAGAUUUCAAUAUGAAUAUCAAACACCAACAAAAAACCAAAAAAAUAAUAAUACAUAAACUAACAAAAAUAUGUAGAACCCUCCAAAUAUGUUGAGCCAUAAGGACCGUCAACUUGAUAGUAUGCAUUAUUGUAGUGUCUAGUCUAAGCAUGUGAACUCUUACACACAAUUAUGCUAGUAAUAAAACAAAAUUGAGACAAAUCAAUUGCUUAUUAAAACAUAGUAAUUUAUUACAUACCGUUCAUAUAUGGACCCUUUUAAGAAAGAUAUUCAAUAAUUCUAAUCAUAUUAAUCUAUCUUAAACGUUUCGCUAAAUUAGUAUAUUUUUUGUUUAUUUGAAACGUUAAAUAUUUUGAAAUAAGUUCAACCUACUGAAUUUGGGAUGGAAUCAGUAAUAAGCAUGUCUAUUUCUUUUAUUCAUGUUUGGUCAUUACUUAAAUAUGUGGGUUGAAUUAAAUUUGAGAAUAUGAAAAUAGAUUAAACUAAUAAAUAGAUAAAUUAUUGUCUCGGUUAAAUGUUAUUUGAGAUAAAUGAGCUAAAGGUCGGAUCAUAAUCCAAUCAGUCUAACUUUUAUUAUUUUUUUUGAAUACCUAAUAAAACUUCCCCCUUAUACAGUAAAACUUACUAAAUUAAUAUUGAGUAAAUUAAUAAUCUCUAAGAUAAUAUUUUCUUCCAGUCUGAACUUGGGCCAAUGGAAAAAAUUAUUCAUUUCGAUAAGAUAAUAAGAUAAUAUAUUUUCAGAAGACCCUUAUAUAAAUAUAUGGUCUCAUUAAUACCAUAAAUUAAUAAUUCUUUAAAAUUACAAAUAUAUCUAAGACAAUUUAGUGAAUAUGAUUCUAUUGUUUUUGUUUUUUUGUUAAAAUCUAAAUCUAGUUGAAGUUUAUCCCUAACUUUUCUUAUUGCAUCCUAAAGUUUUGGUGUUUUCUUUUCGAAUCGCGCACCAUAAAAUUGCAAAGAGUUCGAGAUGUGAUAAGUGUUCCCUUACGCGUAACUGAUUCCAAAGGUAUUGUAUUAUCUUCAACUUCAUCAUCAACAUUGUUUUUUCAAAUGAUAUCUAUAAUUUAUUCUUAACUCUGGACCUUUGAACAUGAAUCUCAAAACACUCUUUUAAUUAAUUAAUAUUAAUUUAUCAAUUAAAUAAUACCUCUAUAAAAUAAUAUUACUUCAUGGUCUCACCUAAAUUAAUUUAUAUAAUAAUAUUUCAUGGUCUCGCCUAAAUUAAUUUAUUGAGAUUUUAUUGUAUAUGACUAUAAAAAAAUGUCUUUUAAAAAUAUUUAAACGAAAUUCUCAUGGGUCAAUCUAGACUGUCUAUCAAUCCAAUUUUAAAAUGAUAUAAACUAAUCGGAUCAAAAUGAGUCCAACUAAUAAAUUAAAUGAAUUAUUAAUCCAUCCAAACUUAAACAAAUUAGACAGAUUAUGAUUUUAUAAGGUGAUUUUAACACCCCACCUAUCGCUGCCUCUUUCCAAACACAAAAAUAAAAUAAAAAGACCCACCACUUCAAAUCACCAAUCAAUUUUACCAAAUCAUGAAACAUGCAAGAUACACUGAUUGGAAAUGCAAAUGGUUCUCACCAUUGGAGGUCUCUUCUUUUUGGUAUAUAACAUUUUUUUUAAAAAUCCUCAUUUGUAUUAUUCGUGGAGAAAAGGCUUUUCUAUGUUAUCUGUAAAAAGUUUGAUUCAUCUAUGUCAUUUUAGUUAACAAAUAACGGCAUAGAUGAUGCUUUUUCUCAAAGAAGAAUGACAUAAAUGAGUCAAACUUUUAACGAAUGAUAUAGAUGAGACUUUUUCUCAAAAAAUGCUGACAUAUUUUAGCAGUUUCUCAAUAGGUAAUAAUGAAAUAUAAUAGACUAGUGUUUUUUAUUAUCAAUACUCUUCAAAGAAUAGAAUCAUUUUCACUUAAAAAGGAAAUUUUUUGUCAAUAUUAUUAUUCAUUUGCUCAAGAUCAGAGCUAAUUUAUAGAGAUAAAAUAAUCUUAAUUAGAAAAAGAAUUAAAAAAGCGAUUAUACUUUUGUACAGAAAGAAAACAGCCUUAUUCUGUAAAGCCAGUAUAAAGUGCCUUGUUGAUACCUUAAUUAAUUUGAAUCAUAAUAUCCAGUUACAAUUAAGCUGUGACUCUUAGAAAGUUUAGAGCAUUUUUUUUUAAAAAAGGAUAAAAAUUAUCUUUGAACUAUUUGAAAUAACUUAUAUAUAUCCUUUAUUUAUUUUUUAGAUCAAAAUUACCCCUGUCAUCUAUAUUUUGGUCCGCCGAUGCCCUUGAACAUUAUCUUUGCUAGGGGUGUACAUAGGAUGGUUUGAUUUGGUUUUUCAUUAAAAAAAAACCUAAACCAAUUAUGUCGGUUUAUUAAAUCUAAAAACCAAAUCAAACCAUAUAAAGUCGGUUUUUUCGGUUUCGGUUUUAGUCGGUUCUUUCGGUUUUUUUGGUUUUUUACGACUUUACUGUAUUUGAAAAAGAGAUCAAAUAUAUUUUCACUUACCUGUGUGAUAAGCUAAACUUAAAAAAUGUUAAAUGAAUAAAAAAAUUCAAAAAGAUGGUAAAAUUCACAUGAGUACAAAUAUUUUUUUGAAAUAUCAACGUUCAUUAUGUUAAAUUAAUAAGAUUAAAUGCUAGAGGCAAACUGAAUACAAAACAAGAUAUUUACAAAGUAAAUUGCUAACUUUGAAUUUGAAAAACUAUAACAAUAUAACUGUAACUUUGGAUCUUAAUACAAAAUAAAAUAUUUACAAAUUUUACAAGCCCAAAUUUGAAAUAAAAUAUAUAAACAUUGAAAACUAUAAACUAAUUAAAAAUAUAUUAACAAAGUAGAUUAUAAAUAAUAUUUUUUAUCUAUAAAUUAAAAUUUUAAAAAUAAAAAAUAAAUAUAUAUAUAUAUAUAUAUAUAUUACAAAAUUUUAUAAGUCCAAAUUUGAAAUAAAAUAUAUAAACAUUGAAAGCUAUAAACUAACUAAAAAUAUAUCAACAAAAUAGCUUAUAAAUAAUAUUAUUUAUCUAUAAAUAAAAUAAAAUUUUCUCUCUCUCUCUCUCUCUAUAUAUAUAUAUUAUGUCGGUUUGGUUUGGGUUCGGUUUGACUUUUUUUCUUUUAAUACCAAACCACACCAAGAGUGAAGGUUUUUUUUUUUCAACCGUCAAACCAACCAAAUCAAACCACAAAUCAUUUUUUUCGGUUUGAUUUGAUUCGUCGAUUCGGUUUGACUUUACGAUUUGACUUGUACAUCCCUAAUCUUUGUCAUUGAAGCUCACAUGACAAUACACCUAGGCAGUCUAACAUGUCAAAAAUUCAUUCAUUUCAAUAAUGUUGUUCUUCCUUAGCUUGUUCAUCCCUAUCACAAAAAAAUAAAUAAAAAAUAUCAAUGAACUUACUCUAUUUUGUUAGAUCAGUUAAAACAAUGAUUAACUUGUUAAUGUUCAAUAAGUUAGUUAAUUAGUUGGCAACUAUAUUUUAUUAUCUUCUAUAUAAAUGACAGUGCAUUGUACACACCAAGGGCACAAGAAAAAAUAUAAAUAACUAGUAAAAUUACCAGCGCCUCGCGCGGGAAUUUAAUAUCAUGAAAUUUAUAAAAUAAUACUUAAAACCUAUUAGUUAGUAAAACUAAAACACUAUAUUAUCUUACAUACAAGAUUACGUAGUAACAAACAUUAUAUUAAUAAUGUAACGGAAAAUGAAAUGAUAACAUCUUAUCAUUUAUCCUUAAUAACAUAAGUAUAAAUUAAUUACUGUAAAAAUACGUACCAGGAUAACGUAAGCAAUGGUGUAAGUGAGCCACUCAACAAGAGCGAAAUACAUGAAUAUUUAAUUGUGUAGAAGAAGAAGAAGAAGUUGAGAAAUUUCGUUGUUUUAAAAAGAGAGGAAAUUCCUCUAUUUAUAGAUAACAAAGGGUAGUGUGAACAAAUAUUUAUUGUGUCUUAUCGGAAAUGUUACAACUAUUUGGAAAAGUUGCAACCCUUCGAAAAUGUCACAAUCUUUCAUAAAAAUCACAUAUUUUCAUAAAAGUCGAAACUCUUCAUUAAAGUAGCAACUUUUCAUAAAAGUCACAACUUUUCAUUUUAGGAGCAAAGUACAACGAAUAUUUAGUUGUCCAGAAGAAGAAGAAGUUGUUCAGAAUUUUCAUUGUUUUAAAAUGAGAAGAAAUUUCUUUAUUUAUAGAAAACAAAGGCUAGUGUGAACAAAUGUUUAUUGUGCCUUAUCGAAAAUGUCACAACUCUUUGGAAAAGUUACAACCCUUUGGAAAGGUCACAACCUUUCAUAAAAGUCACAACUUUUCAUAAAAGUCACAUAUUUUUAUAAAAGUCGCAACUUUUCAUAAAUGCCACAAUUGUUCAUAAAGUCACAACUUUUCAUGAAAGAUGAAGACUAGUUUUGGAAAUAAAAUAAAUUAAAAGGGAAUCCUGGUUUGUGGUGGCACCACGUAGGCGGGCCUAGGGUUCUCUUUUAUAUAAAUAUAUUCCUUCCGUUUAAAAAGAAUUACCUCAUUUCCUUUUUAAUCUGUUUAAAAAAGAAUGACCUCUUUCUUUUUUUAGUAAUAUUUUAAUUUCAACUUUCCACGUGGCAUGUUUAAGGCCACAAGAUUAAAGGGCAAUUUUGUACAAUUGACAUAACUUUAAUUUAGGACCACAAGAUCCAAAAGUCUUAUUUAUUUUCUUAAACUCCAUGUCAAGCCAAACUAGACCAUUCUUUUUUAAACGGAGGGAGUAUGAUUUUCUGAGAUUCUAUUCUCAUACUCAAUCUCUGAUUCUUCCUUCUUUCUCCUAUUCAACUUCUUCAAUUCUUGUUUUACAACAAUUACUGCCAAUUAAUCAUUAAUGGUAACUCAACCUUUUGGAUCAAAAAAUUUACUUCUUUUUUUUUUGUCUCAAACCUCACAUUGUCUAAAACUUUAAUCCAUUUAUAUUCAAGAUGAAUAAUCCAACAAAACUUAUUAGCUUUCCACAUGUUAUCCACAAAAAUAUCAUGAUCUACUAGAUUCAUAAAAUAUCUCAUGAUAUUAAAGAAAAAUAGUUUUUUUGUUUUUUGAAAAAAUAGAAAAGGUUCACACAAAUUUUUAAAAACAAAUUAAUUUUAUCUUCAUUUAAAGGAGGAAAGUGUUGCUUCGUGUUCCAUGUUUACCCUAUAGCAUGCCGCUUAUUCAUAUGCCAAAACUAGUGUCCAAAUGAACAAGUCACUAUAGAAAAAAUAUCUACUCAAGAAGGGCACUUUGAUAUUUAAUUAAAUAUCUACUGGGAGGGGCAUUUUGAUAAUUAACUAUGACUUUAGAAUUUAACUUUUUGACAUAAAGUAUAGAAAUCCCAUAUAUUUAAAGGCUAAUUACAUCUUAUCUCAGAAGUUUCUGUGAUUACAAAAAUCUCGAAUUUUUCAUUGCUUUCGAAUACAUUUUUUUAUUGUCCCAUAAAUUGUAAAUGAUAGAUACAUUACUUAAUGAGAGGAUGUAUCCGAGAUGAGAUAAGAAUGUAUCCGAAGGGAUAAUGAUGUAUCCUAGUGGAAAUAAAGAUGCAUUCAAGAGGAAAUUCUUGUAACUUUUUUAAAUGGCAGAGAAUUCUAGAGAUUAUGAUAUUUUAAAUUUUAUAUAUAUAUAGAUAUAUAUAUAUAUUGUUUGUUUGUUCUCAUGACCUUUUCUCUUUUUCUUUUCCUUCACUUCAUAAGAAUCUAUAGUGGUCGAAAGUGAUGUGUCUCACCAACUUAAAUUAGUUUAUUUGGACGAAAAAUGAUUUUAUUUUAGGGUGGUUUGGGUGGAAGAUAAGUUAAUUUAGAGAUUAUUUACACUAUUUUUUGAUAUAAAAACUAAUAAAUCUUGUAUGUUAUUUAAUGUAUACUUAUUUCUUAAUAGAUGUUUAAUUCAUAAUAUUAAAAACUUAUAAGAGAAACAUUUUCCUUAAUAAAACUUUUAUUUUAUUUAAUAUAAAUAUUUUUGCGCUUCACUUUAUUUAAUUUUUUAAUUUUUUUUUGCGAGCUUUAGUUAUUUAUUUUUUAAAAUAAAAUUUUUAUUUUAUUUAACAUAAAUAUUUUGCUUAUAUAUUCCCAUGAUAAGUACCAUGUGUAUUUAAAAGUAUAACUUUUUUUUUAUUUAGCUUAAAAAUAGAACUUUCCUCUUUAGUUUGUUAAAGAGAAGAAAAUUUAUGAGAAAUCAAAAUAAAAUAAACAUAAGAAUUAGUCAAAUAAAAAUUAUAUUUAUAUAGUGUAAUUUUUUAAUAGAAAAAUAUUAAUGAUUAUCAUAAAAAUAAGAAGCAGUAAAUAUUGUUAUACAUGAUAUUAAAAAUAAUGUAAAUAUAAAUAAAUGUGAAAAAUGAUGUAUAAAAAGGAUUUAAAGGGAUAUAUUUGUCAUUUACCUAUUUUAUCCCGGGAUUAUUAUACCACCCAAUAUGAGGGAUAACUUAUCCCAGUACUAAUUCAUAAUUCUGGGAUAAGUUAUCCCAAGCUUUCCAACCAAACAAGGAAAUAAAGGCUACUUAAAAUUUAUCCCAAAAUAAACUUCCAUUAUCCAUUACACCAAACGAUCCCUUAUAGUCCAAUGUGGCCUACUGUUAGAGCUCUUCCACUAUUAACUAUUCGGUCAAGAUAUUCAUUUUAAAGCGGAAGUGGGCAGGGGUAGGUGGACACUAUUAUGAUUUGAUUAAAAAUUAAUUUAAAAUUUAUUUUCUUGGAUUUGGUUUAAAAUUCUAAAAUAGACCAUAUUUAAUUUGUUUUUGGUUUUAAUAAAAAAUAAUUUCAAGUUGAUACUCAUUUAAUAUAGGACGGAGGAAGUAUACAAAGAACAAAAUAAUUAAAAAAUAGCAAUUGUUUUAAAAUAAAUGCCAUCUAUUUAAAUGAUAAGAAAAGAAUUUCAUAUGAAGGUUAAAAAAUUAUGUAAGAAAUGUGAAUCUUUUUCUUUAAUAUAGUUCUUUUAUUUAUUUAUUUAUUUAUUUUAUUUACCACGUUAUACUGCCGUCACAAAAUUCCUAAAAAAGUCUAUUAAGCUAUAGUUACUAAAAUGUGGGCUUUUUAUGCCAGAUUUUAGGCCAAGCGAUGAUGGUAAAAUUCUUAAUUUUUCAUAACUUACCUUUGUGAUAUAUCUUAUUUAAAAUAUAUUUUCCUCUUAGUAUAUAUGUUAGGACUCUUUAAUUUUUUAAAUCAAUUUUUUAUCAUAUAUUUUAGGAUUCCUUAUUAUAAAUUUAUUAUAUUAUAAAAUCUUUUAAUAAAAGAUAAAAAGUUCAAUCAACAUUUAUCUUAAUGAGUUUAAAGUGAUAUAAACACUAGUCAAUUGUACACGAUUUGCAUACAUGUAUCCUGUUAAUUAAUAAAAUAUAACAUAUUAUUUUAAGAUAAAAAUAAAAAAACACAUCUUCUUCUAAACAAUAUAGCUAUAUUAUAUAUGAGCAUAAUAAUCUAUCACAACUACUUAUAACAAUUUAACAAUAAAAGAAAGAAUUAUGGAAAAGCACAACCUGAAAGUUGCAAUAUGAUACUUUUGCAUCUAAUCAGUAUCAUAAUGUCAAUCUUUAUAUCAAAAUUUAUUACUCUAUCCAUUCAUUUUUAAUUAUCAUGUUGCAUUUUUUGAAAAUCAAUUUAAUUAAUUUUCAAAGUUAAAUUAGAUUACACUAAUUCGAUAUUUUAAACAAAAAAUUUAGAUAUUAAAAAACUAUACAAAAAGUACUAUAGACUGCAAUUUUUUGCAUAUUAAUAUGAUGAAAAAAUAUAUCAUAAAAUGUUAGUCAAAGUUCUUAUUAUUUGGCUCUAACAAAGGAAAUCAUGACAAUUAAAGGUAAGGGGAAACAGUAUCAUACAAGAAUUGAUUAUACUAUCUAAAUAUGUCUAAUAUAUGUGCACCUAAAAUAAUAUCGCAGAAUUAGUGUUUAUAUGUAAAGAUUUAAAAAUAUUUCAAUUAAUUAGAACAGAUAUUAGCAUCUAUUUUUUCAUAGAAGAAGUUUUCAUAAUAUGUCUAAUAGAGUUUGUAUCUAAAUUGAUAUUACUUAUUAGCAUCUAUUUUUCCAUAGAAGAAGUUUUCAUAAUAUGUCUAAUUAUGUUUGCAUCUAAAUUGAUAUUACAGAGUCAAUGUUUAUUCCGACUAUAUCUCGAUUAAAUAUUUUAAUUAAUUAAAAGAGAAAUUAGCUAUAAUAUUUGUUUUUUUUAAGAUCAAAUUAAAUUAAUUAUUUUUUCCGAUUCACAUGAUCUUAAUAUCAAAUAAGGUUUUCCCUUAUAUACUACUACUAACUAAUAGCAAUCUUAAAUACUGAAAAAAUUACUUUGUGGGUAGAUCACGGGCAAGAAUAUUCUAGGUUCUAAUUUCUAAAUAUUAAGAAAAAUAUCAAAUGUUAAUUUUAGAGAAAACAUAAAUUAUUAUUCUUAAAUUUUAACAAUACAAUAAAUAAUUUUUUUUUUAUCUAUCAUAGAAUAUCUAAACACAAAACUUAUUAUACACUUAAAAUCGUAUAUUUUCCUCUUUUGAAUGUUAUGUGAAAUUAAUUUCUUUUAAGAAAAAAACCUUGAAGAUUUAUUCAUAUGAUGAGAUCUCUCGUAAAUAUAGUAGUAUACUUCUACGAUCCUUCUUUCUUUACUCCUAAUCCGUUCCUUUUAGGGCGGCUUAGUAUUAUAUUAUUAUAAUUUAACACUAUUUGCUUGUGUUAAAUUAGGGUAUUUAUCAUCCUUCUUACUGCAAAUCUUACACAAAGAUUUUCACUUUUCUUGAUUUUCAGAUUAGUUUUCUUAAACAAUGGCUUAAGUGAUUAGCUAAACAGAUUAAGCUUGUUUGUCCUUUUCUGACCCUUUUCAGGGUUUUUGGUUCUUGAUUCAUAUAUAUAGAAAAGAACAGAUUUUUUUUGGUUACCUCUCUCACAAAAAUCAUUCUUCUUCCCCAUACCUUAUCCCUCUAAUCUCUUUCUCUUAUGUUCAUCUGUUAAAGUUCCAAUCUUUUGAGUUCUCUUGGACUUUGCAGAGAAAGAGGGAGAGAGAGAUACAGAGAGAGGUCUAAAUGGAAGGUGUUUUACAAACAAGAGGGCUUCUUUCUUUGCCUUCUAAACCCAAAAUCAAGGCUUUUUACCCAUUGCCUCAAGGGGGUCUAAGGAACAGAUUCAAUUCUUUAAGUAGUUUAAAGCCUAAUCCUCUUAAUGGGGUUUCUUUAUCUUCAAAUGGGUUUCAAAAAGUUCAAGGCUUUGACACAAAGCCUCAGUUGUUUGGCCAAAAGAAGAGGUGUUUUCCAAUAUGCAAAGCUGAGGCUGCUGCUGCUGCUGGUGCAGCUGAUGGACAGCCACUUUUUGUUGAAAAGGAGCAACCUAAGUUUAUGGGGAUUGAACUUGUGACCCUUAAGAAAAUUAUACCACUUGGGGCGAUGUUCUUUUGUAUUCUGUUUAAUUAUACAAUCCUUAGGGAUACUAAGGAUGUGUUGGUUGUAACAGCUAAAGGGUCCAGUGCUGAGAUUAUCCCUUUCUUGAAAACUUGGGUGAAUUUGCCUAUGGCUAUUGGAUUCAUGCUUUUGUACACAAAGUUGGCUAAUGUGUUGUCAAAGGAGGCUCUUUUUUAUACUGUUAUACUUCCUUUUAUUGCAUUCUUUGGGGCGUUUGGUUUUGUUUUGUAUCCUCUUAGCAAUUACUUUCACCCUACAGCUUUUGCUGAUAAGCUUCUCAAUACCCUUGGUCCAAGAUUUCUUGGACCAAUUGCUAUUCUGAGGAUCUGGAGUUUCUGCUUGUUCUAUGUCAUGGCUGAGCUUUGGGGAAGUGUGGUGGUUUCAGUACUCUUUUGGGGAUUUGCUAAUCAGGUAAAUUUGUGUCCAUGAAUAUAUUUUGUACAUUAAUAACCAUUUUUUGGAUGCAUAGUCUUGUUGUGUGGAUAAUAUGUUUAGUUAGAUUCUGAUAUUAUCUAGUAUUUGCACAUUACCUCUUUGUUUCUGGAUGGUUGCUGCUGCAAUUUUGCGAGGUAAAAUCGAUCUCUUUAUAGCAGGACCAGUCUGAUAUUCAUGUGGUACCAGAGCCUGCCUUCUUGGUGUUCUUUUAUAGCAUAAGGGUGAAAUUCUCUAAUAUAAGCUAUAAUGGUGGAUGACUUAGCGAAGAGUUCUGUUUGUGGUGCAGUUGUGCUCACUGAGUCUUGACAUAUUGGCAGCAUCAUUUUGGUCUGCUGUUUUCUUAGUUGCAGUUGGUCAUACAAAUAUGUAAACCUUUCAUUCUGUUCCCCUGCUGUUAUUACCAUUCUAACAAAUGUUCUGGCUAGUUAUAAUAUGAUCAUCAACAUAUCUAUAUGUCUGUAAUCACUACCCUUGAGCUUUGGCCGGGGUAACUUUUAGUGAACGUACCAGUGAUUGUUUUGGAUGAUUUUUUGCAGAUCACGACUGUCGAUGAGGCUAAGAGAUUCUAUCCUUUGUUUGGACUUGGAGCGAAUGUUGCUCUUAUUUUCUCUGGUCGCACAGUGAAGUACUUUUCUAGCUUGAGAAGCUCUUUAGGUCCUGGAGUUGAUGGUUGGGCCAUCUCCCUGAAAGGAAUGAUGAGCAUUGUUGUGAUGAUGGGUGGGGCAAUCUGUUUCUUUUACUGGUGGGUGAAUAGAAAUGUUGCUCUCCCAACUCGUAGCAAGAAGAAGAAGGUAAAUUUGCUAAACCAUAUGUCAUUGCUUUGCAAUAGGCAACAGUUACUUCCAAAUCAACUAGUUGAUGGUAGAAUAAACUACUUAUCUUUUAGUUUUUCUUAUAAAGCACUGUCUCACAUUAAUUCGUUUCUGAGAAGCAGAUGCACACAUCUUUGUCCCUCGUCUAUCACUUUUACUAAAACGAAGAUUUGUUUCUGGUUAAAUCUUUUCAAAUUAUUUAUCAAUUGUGCUCUUCAGAUUUUAUACCUAGAGUUUUAAAUUAAAGAAUCAUGUUUACAUAUUUGCAUUAUCUGACUGAUGUCUUUUGUCAGGUAAAACCUAACAUGACCACAAUGGAGAGCUUGAAGUUCUUGGUCUCUUCAAAAUAUAUCAGGGAUCUUGCCACAUUGGUUGUAGCAUAUGGCAUUAGUAUCAACCUUGUUGAAGUUACAUGGAAGUCAAAGCUCAAAGCUCAGGUGAAUUAUUACUGACUGCUAUUUUUUUCAUUAUAAGUUUGGAAUUCAGAUUGUUUCUCAUUUUGACAUGCUAUCUCAUACGUUCUCUCUCUGUAUCACUAAUGUGCAGUUCCCAAGCCCCAAUGAAUACUCCUCAUUCAUGGGUGACUUCUCAACUGCUACUGGAAUAGCAACUUUCAUAAUGAUGUUGUUAAGUCAAUGGAUUUUCGACAAGUAUGGGUGGGGAGCAGCAGCCAAGAUAACACCUACAGUCUUGCUCCUAACCGGAGUUGGUUUCUUCUCCCUGCUUUUGUUUGGUGCCCCUCUAGCACCUACUCUUGCGAAGUUUGGAAUGACUCCUCUUCUAGCAGCUGUCUAUGUGGGUGCAAUGCAGAACAUUUUCAGUAAGAGUGCAAAGUAUAGUUUGUUUGACCCCUGCAAAGAAAUGGCCUACAUUCCUUUGGAUGAGGACACCAAGGUAUAAUGAUGUACUUGAUAUAUACUUUUAACUUUAUGGUAUCAGUGCUCUAGAAAGAGCUCUUGGGAGUGCUAAUUAUAUUCGCAUCAGUGCAAUCAUGCCUUCAUGUAAGAAAUGAAAUUUCAAACACGUGUAGCUGAAGCCUUUAUGUUAGCGAUACAUAUACAUGCUUGGUGAUGUAUGUCACUGACAUGACAAUAUCUGUUUUAGUUAUGUAUGACCAGAAAAGUCAUAGUAUCACUUAACAAGCCAACUGUUUUCUCUGAAAAUUAAUAUGGAGUAAUUUCCUGUAUCAGGUUAAAGGGAAGGCAGCAAUCGAUGUUGUCUGCAAUCCACUGGGAAAGUCUGGAGGAGCUUUGAUACAACAAUUCAUGAUUUUGACUUUUGGUUCACUUGCCAGCUCGACACCCUACCUCGGCGGUGUGCUCUUAGUAAUUGUUCUUGCAUGGUUGGGAGCAGCCAAGUCUUUGGAUGGACAGUUCACUCAAUUACGCCAAGAAGAAGAUCUUGAGAAGGAAAUGGAGAGAGCAUCGUUGAAGAUCCCUGUCGUGUCUCAAAAUGAAAAUGGAAAUGGUCCUCUCUCAAGUGGGUCAUCACUAAAUCCCGCUGGAGGUGACUCUACCAACGCUUCAUCAGAACCCUCCUCCCCAAGGAGCCUGUAAUAUCAUUAUUAAGAUCACUUGCAGAACAAGAGGAAUAAAAAGCGAACAGAAGAUGCGUCAGGUGGUAUCUUGGUUGCAGUCCGACUAUGAACUGAUGUUGUCAAAUCUUUGUUGGUUAUAGGAAUUUGUUUUUAAUCAAGAGAAAUAAAUUUAGAUACAAGAGAGGCAUGUCACCAAAUUAGCCACCCUGCCAUCCCAAUAUUUAUUUUAUUUCCUGGUAGUUACAUUUUUUUCUCAGUUUUGUAGCGCUCCGAAUUCUCGUUGAACAACUUUCUUUUGGCAAUGUAAGCAUGUGUUGUUUCUCCAGAAACUUUGUUCUCUUGGUAAUGCUUUUAUCCGACUCAAGAAUGUUUCAUGACACUUUUGUCAAGGAGGUUGUGCAUGAGAUUAGUGAAGAAGUUUUUCUUUUUUUUCUGCUUCUAACUUGAGUAAAAUAUUCUCUGGCUCUUGCAUCUUCGUUCCAAUCUGAAAAUCAAGUUAAUUCAACAACAUACCUAGUGAAAUCCCACAAAGUAGGAUUUGGGGAGGGUAAAGUGUACACAUACCAUACCACUACCUCGUGGAGGUAGAGAGACUGUUUUCGAAACAUAGUAAUAGUUAAUAAUUCAAAAUAUUAAAGAAAAGGUGAAAAAAGUUCAGGUUAAAGAAAAAUUGUUUGAUUCUGUGAAUAGUUACACAUUCUCAUGAAGUUUGGCUAUGCACAAACAAAAGCAUCCAUUUGAAUGGUUAGAGAUUUCUGAACUUGUCGAAAAGUUUGGUUGGAGGAGUGGUGAGAGUAGGUGGUUUUUUUCUAACUUGUUUGUGAGGAUGUUGAAUCCCUUUCUAAUGGAAUACUUGGGGUUGCUUGUGUUGCUUGCUGGUACAGAAUUGGCAAUGACAUCAAGCGAUGUGAAUAUAAAAGAAGAAUCUUGUGUGAACUGUGGUGUUUGUUUGUGCCGCUUUGUCAUUAGCAAGAUGCAAUGCAAUGUAUUUGUGUGAUAUUCUGCUAUGUUUUGCCGUUGAAAUCGAGGCAAGUUGAUUGGAAAAUACUACUUAUUUGCACCCAGAGUUCUGAAUUGUUAAACAUUGAAAAACAGCCUGCUUUCUUGAUGUUGAUUCAUUUGGCUUUAGGUAUUGUCUUUCUUUACUCUGCAGGCUGUGGAACUUUGUAAUAAUUGUUUACUUGGUUCUACACAAGGUUCUCAUAUGUCAUUAUCAAAGGAAAAUUACAUAAAUAAAUGUAAUUAUGAAGACAGAUUCCAAGUCUCAACUUUAUUUGGUUGCAGACAAAGCACUAGUUAUUCAAUUCCACCUGAAGAAAAAGAUUUCCUUCUUCAACAUGGCGAUUCUUCUUUCAUUCCGCUUCCUCCUAGUUCUGGCUGUCUUAAUGGUUUUGCUGAUUUCUGCUCAAUCAUUUUCAGAUCUUGAACCUUCAGAGGAGCAUGAGGAGGUCAAAACCAUUUGCAAAUUUAAACGCCUCGCAGAAGUUGAAAGAGAGUGCAAGCCUGUUUUAUCAGUGUCAUCUAAGAUGAAGCUUGGAAAUGAUAAAAUAUAUAGUUUUGCUAAAGACCUCUCUUUUCAGAAUGGAGACUGGGUGCAAGAGGCUGGCAGUGCACCGUUGAUGCCAUUUAAUGAGAAUGAUAUGCCAAAGAACUUUUCUGGUAUUGGUUCCACUCUGAAACUUGCUUCUUUCUGGUUAAUGGGCAUGGAUUUUAACCGGCAAGCAGAUGAUGUAUUGGGUAUCUGUGGCAUCUUAUCCAUCGCAAUUACGCGGAACAGGACUCUUUCAGACAUGCCACAAAGAUGGUCUCCUUGGUUCCAUACAAGCCCUGGCUACUCUGAUUUGACAAUCAUCUUUGAAGGACUCUAUGUUGAGGAAGCCAAUGGAGGAGACCGCCUGAUGUGUUUAUUAGGGACUACAGUGUCCCCUUUUUCCAAAAGUUCUGUAGAUCCUUAUGAAUGGUCCUCAAAAUACAAUUGCAGAAAAGUUUUCAGUAUUCAUUCGUGAAGGAUGAUAGGAUAAUGCUUAUUCUUCGAUACCCUGAGAUCUUCACUUUGACUAGUAGAGCAAUUCUUGGUGAGUUGAGAAGUCUAAAUAAGAAGUCAGAUCCUAAAUAUUUUGACGAGGUCCAAAUUUCAUCACAGCUGAGCUAUGACUCGAAAUAUCAUUUUGUAUCUGAGCAACUUGUAUCUAGAGCUUGCAAUCCAUAUUCAUGUCAUGAACUUCCUGAUAACAGAAUUCAAGUCCACAAAGCGUCACAGUUUUGCAAAGUUCUUCAAAAAUUUGGUUCUGAAACAUUUGACAUUGAUGUGGCUUCAGAGUGCCAUGACAUGAAGCAUUGCAAGAAUCUAGGACCAUUUGUGCAUGACUGGGAGAUCACUGAAGGCAAUAAUGCUAUGUCCAACAAGUUUAAGCUCUUAAUUACAAAUUUGCGUUGCUUACCAGAAACCAAUUCCCCUAAGACUGCAAAAGUUUCUGCUGUCUUCAGAGCGCUCUCUCCUUCAGAAGAUCGCUUCUAUUCAGGAUCAAGAACCGGUCUUUCUGGAAUGACAAUAUCCGCGGAAGGAAUAUGGAAUUCUUCCACUGGUAACCUCUGCAUGGUUGGUUGCAUUGGCCUAGAGAAUGAUGCUGAUGGAUGUGAUUCACGAAUCUGCUUGUACUUACCUGGCACAUUUUCAAUCACUCAGCGAAAUGUUCUUUCUGGAACCAUCUCUAGCAUAAAAGAGACUUAUGUUCCUUUACGGUUUAAAAAGGAACUCCGUCCUCUCGACAUCUGGAACACGUAUCAUGAUUACUGUAAAUCCUACUUAUCCUACAGGUUUACAAGAAUUGAGAUGUUAAGGGCCUUUAUGCAGAAAGACAACAGUUACAAUUUGGGGAUGCUGAUUACGAAAAUAAUCCACAGAUUUCCAGGCAUUGAAUACAAUAGAAACUUAACACUCCUUUCUUCUUUAUCCGAUGAGCUUUCUUUCCAGGUUAAAGCUCUUCCACAUGCCAUACGGAACAAGACUAUCUCCAAAACAUUUCUUUCACUCGAGGUCCUCUCAUUAGGUCAUUUGUUCGGACGUCAUUGGCCAUUUCGAAGGGAGCAUACUUGCCAAGAAGAGGGUAAAGUUCCAUCUUUCGUUGCUUAUGAUGAUCAAAAUAUACUUUUAAAUGUCUCAGCACAACUGACUGUUACUGAGAAGUACUUUAGUCACGUUGCAAAAGUCUUCCUCGAGGGACUUUACGAUGCAUCCAGGGGGGUGAUGCAUACAGUAGGCUGCAGGGAAAUUCAUAGCCAAAAGUUUAUGGAUUGCUUGAUCGAAGUUAAGGUGCAGUAUUCCUCCAAGACUACUAGGUGGUUGAUAAAUCCUACUGCCAGUGUAUCCAUUACUAGUCUGCGGAAUCCAGAAGAUCAGUUUUAUUUCAGUCCAAUCAACUUAAAAACAGUACUGAUUCCAUAUAGAGACAACUCCAAGGAGGUCAAGUUUCGCCUGAACUUCGAGGCUUGUUUCCGUAUAUUUGUUCUUUUAACUUCUGCAGCUUGUUUGUUGAGUCAACUCUAUUACGUUGAGCGAAACAUAGAUGCCACUCCUCUCAUUUCUGCUGUUAUGUUAGGUAUUCAACUUCUUGGUUAUGGUGUCCCUUUGGUCAUGGAUACCCCCAUUCUUUUUGCAUGGAAGGAAUAUCUUUAUCCACAGAGUCGAUCAUUGCAUACUGGAUCGACUAAUAAACAGUUCCAAUUCAUGAUGAAACUUCUUCUCUUGAUCAUUUUUGUGCUUACUCUAAAACUCUUUCAGAAGGUAUGGGAUUCGCGAAAGAUCUCUCCAAAGUCCUUAUCUUUGAAUCGUAGGCCAAAUGAUAAAAAGGUUCUCCUGUUUGCCUCGAUGAUCCAUGUGACCGGUUUUGCACUGUUUAAUGUGUGUCAUAGUAUUUUGGCAGGGGAAACAGAGUUGGUUACUCAACUAAACAAGUAUUGGGGUAUGAUUCAAGAUUGCUUUUUGCUUCCUCAAAUAAUUGGUCUCAUGGAAUGUAAGUUCAAAACUAAGCCUCUGAGUAAAGUUUACUACAUUGGGUUCACAGUUGUUAGGUUUGUUCUUCGUGGCUACGACUACCUUAGAGAUCCGGUUUUCAGUGUCUACUUUCACACUGAAGACAGGGCUGUAAGUUCCCAGUUUUUGUCAAAAUUUGAGAAUGUGGGGAUGAUGAUGAUCUUGUCAUUUCUUGCAAUAAUAUAUCACAUCCAACAGCAGAACUUCAAGACUAGCAUUUAAAUGCUGACUGUUUGCUCUUGCUAAUGAAACAAAUAUUGUUUUUCUGCAGUGAUGUUGGGUCAUACUGUCAAUUCCAAGUUGUUUCAAGAAUGUUGAAUAGAUGCCUAUGUAUCAAUUUUGUUUUGUCAAACUCAGCCUUUUCUGUACUAUCUUAUAGUCUCUAUCCUAAGAGAUUUUAGUCAUGCUUAACAUAGUUUAUUUUAGGCAUAUGGACCCUAAGCUUGGCAUCAAAUUUUAACUUUGACCUCCAAUUUUCAUAUUGCACAAACAGACACUUUAACUAUCCAACCUUUAAAUAAAUAAGCAUGCGAGUCUUACCUGGCAAAACGUGUAAUGUGCACUUAUUCUGCGCGAGUUAGGAGUAAUUUUCGAGGCCCACAAUGGUAAAAAAAGGUUGAAAUGACAACUCUACCCUUAAUGAAUCCCUUUUAUAUAUAUCUUUAUAUUUCCAAAUCAAAAUCUCAUUUUUUUGUUCCUCCUCUUUCAAACCAAGAUUUUUUUCCUUUCUUUAGAACAAUUUUUGCUCAUAUUUAGUGCAAAUGGCUUCUAAUUUUUUUUUUGUCAUUGUGGAAAAAGAGCUAUAAUGAAGUUUUUCUUGGUCUGCAAACAAUCCAGGUCGUUGGUUUCUUGGAUGUGAAGAUGGCCGGGUAUGGUUCAAUUUAAGACAUCUUUUUUUUUGUUUAAAUUUUAGUUCUCAACAUUCAAUUUUGAUAGUGAAUUUGUUCUUCUUAAACAGGUUGGAUGCAAGUUUUUUAGGUGGUAUGAACUUGAUUAUACUGAACACGCUAGAAUUGCAUUUUCGGGAUUACAAAAGAGGAUAAGAAAACAUGAUGAAGAAAAGGAAAAGAUUGGGAGGAAAUAUCGAGUUUUGUUGAUCAUUGUAAUACUAACUAGGAUUUAUAGAGAGUUCUUUAUGUAGUAGAUGUUAUGUAGAUUGGUUGAAAAAGUUAUGUCGGAAUCGUUUUGUUUGUAAAGUAGUUUUCUUUAUGGGUUAGUGGCUGCCCAUAUCUAUUGUAAGCAAUCAAAGUAAUUCAUUGAAAUGCACUAUUUUAGAGUUGGCAAGAGUUUGUCUUUCAAUAUUGGCUUCAAUAUUAAUCACUUUACAACUUACAAGGACAUUACUUCAAUAUACUAGCAUGAUUCACACACAGAAAAUGCACUAUUUCAUACAUGCUUUGCACCUAACAUCAAGGCAGUCUAACAUCAAUCAUAACAAACACCAAAAGACUUCACAAAACAUAAUUUAACAUCCAUAAAAGUAGGGCACUAGCUUCAUAAAUAAAUCCAAAGAUUUGUCUAUGCAAACAUACAUCAAAAUAACCCAAAAUACAUCAAAAUGAUCAGUAAUUGGAAUAUGCCUUUACAAAACAGUUAUCAAAAUAAACAAAAACAAAGACCUCCUAGAUCAAUAUUUGUCCACAUCACUGACACUUUAAACUCUAUGGAACCCACUUUUCCUUGGAUUUGCUUCUUUUCCUUUGACAAUUGUUGAAGUUGGUUUCCGGUCAUUGCAUCUUUUUCUUUCCAUUUCAAACCAGGUGGCUUGAAUCCAAGAUCAAUAUUUGUUCGUGAUGGAUCUUUAAAUGCUACCACAGACCCACUUGAGAUAACUCUUUCACUUGAUCUUCCUGGUUGCAUAAUUCAUAGGGAAUUAUUUAGUAUACCUAAAUAAAGAUGUAAGAAAAUCAAUUAAAGAAGGCAAUAUACACACGUUAAUCAAUUGUCUUUCAGAUUGUAUAGCUGUGUAAACACCAAAUCCCACAUCUCUUGUUCUUUUUCUUUCAACUAAAGAAGUUGGUGGCCUUCCAACUGAAGAAUAUUUUGGUCUUAUAGUUGAAGUAGAUGAUGCCCAUGCAGUUGAAGAAGAUGUUGCCCUUGCAUUUGGCUGUUGCUUUUUCCUUCCUUUAACCUUUGAAGAAUCUGCACAUAAAGAAGAGGCAUGUCCAGUGCUAGGCUGCCUCACUGGUGGUUGUGAAGGUUGCCUCACUGGUGGUUGUUGAAAGGGCCUUGCAGGCUGUUGUGUGGGGUGUUGAAAGGGCUGUAAAGACACAAAAUUAGAAGUAUAAAACUGAUUAAAACUUAAAAGAAAGAAAAAAUGCUUACCACUGAUUUACAAGUUCUUUUGUUAUCCCCAACUUGAUGGCAUUUGAAACAUGACAUCCUCACUCCAUUCUUUGAUGCUUUCCCCCACUUCUUUUUCUUGGUUCAUCUUUAUCUUUUCUUCUACAUCUACCUGGUCUUCCAUGCAUUGGCUUCACUUCAAGAGGCUUAACUGCUGGGUUAUUGGUGUCAGACCACAUUACCAUAUUGGAGAUGAGUUGUAAAUGGUACUUAUAAGCACUUAGUGUUUUAUUUAAAAAUAGAUUGGACUGGAUUUAGAGUCGCCACUUAAUUUUUAAGAUAAAAUUAAGAAAACUGAUCUUUCAAAAGAUUAAACAGGAAAUCAAUUGAAAAUAUUUAAAGGGGGUUCAGGGUUCUUAUUAGCAUUUCGGGAAGGGUUUGAAAGCACCUGAAAUGCCCACUAAGACGCGAUUAUCCGACAAUUAAUUAUUUGGUUAAUUUUCAUCUGACUUAAUUUGAGCAAUUUUUACGAUUUAGGACUGUUCGAAGGGAGAAAAGGGGAAAUAUUAAGAUAUACCCAAGUGCAAUAGUUUACAAAAUUAUAUAUGUAUUUGUUUAUUUAUUUAUUGAUCAAAGAAAGCGAGUUCUUAAUUAGUUAAUUGUUUAGAAAAUCGGUUCAGAAUGGCUAUCCUUCGGGAAGUUAAACUGUAGUGAUCUUAAGAUUAACAACAAGUAAUGACAGGUAAACAAAUUUAAAAUGAUAAAGUAAAGAGGAAAAUUCGGGCCCGAGUCUGGUUUCCUGUCCGCCGGACCAGUACUUGGGCCUAUUUUCGUUUUGGGCUAAAGGCCCAAUUUUUACCACCUUUGUACCUGUCCUAGACUAAAUUGAAUUUUAUUUCUUUGAGUCUUAGGCCCAUCUUCCACCUGUCCUAAAUUCUAACAAGAUAACAAUAAAUAAAAUGACAAAGGCUUAGGCCUAGAAUAACAAAAUACAAUUUUUUUAAUAAAGAGUGGCCCUUUUAAACCUCUUUUCUCAUUUUUCGUAUACACCUAGUGUACACCAGUCCAUAUCGGCUCUGAUUCCUGUUCGUCAAUUUUUGAGGAACCUGUUCUUUGAUUUUAUAGCCGGCUGACUCGGAUUAAAAAAAGGAAUUUGAGCCUUUACGACUCUCUCGUAAUGCAAGAGGAACGUGAUUGGAGUUCAUGGGGAACUCGGGCAGAUUUCACAUGCAAACACAAAUAAAAUCAUAUUAGCACAGGAUGAGGAAAACUCUAAUACGUUUCUAUAAAAUGAACAACAUUACGGUAACCACUAACUUAGCACGACAAAUCACAAUAAAGUAUUAGGGACUAAUCUAAUAACCUAAACAACUCGGCCAAUUACUCGUUACCGGCUACAAUGAGAAAAAUGGACCAAAGUUGUUUUGAUUCGCAUUCACAACAAAUAUUAACUUUUUAAAAGACCAAACUAUACCAUAUGUGUCAUUCAAACAAAGAAAUUAAGACUAAAAGUAUAAACUAGAUACUGUAGACACAUAUGACAUAUAAAUUAUGAACAAAUUCCAUUCUUUUAGUCUCUGCCAAUUUUCAGUUUCAUGCAUACUCUCAUAUUGACAUAUAUAUUAAAUGAACUAUUAAGAAUGUAGACAUCAAAUAGAGCCACAAGCAAUUGCCCUUGGAAUUGAAGAAUCGACAUGUCACAUAAUGAAAGAUUAAUCACCAAAAGAGAUAAUGUUUUAAAUAAUCUUGCAGACCAGACUCUAACAAAGCAAGAUUUGGAAAAUAGAGCACCGAUUUUAACUCCACUUUAUUAGAAUAAAAUAGUCAUUCCUUACUCUCUCAAGAAGCUACAAACAACAAACAUGAUGAUUGCAGGGGUUUAUUGGCAUAGCCUCACGACCGUAUUCAAAGACAUGCGAAGCACUGGAAAGUCCUGAUAAAUUUUAACCCUUUAACACAAGGGAAAAUAUUUAAAGGAGCUUAACAAUAGCAAAACGAGAAGGCUGAGACCCUAAAGGACAUAUAUUAAGCUCAAGUAUAAGACUAAAACUUUAGGAAAUGCAUAUUUUAACUUUCUUAAAGAAACCUCAAGGAGCAAAGUACAAAUAUGGUGCUAUACUAAUGACUCUCUCGAUGGAAGCAAAACAUAAACAACAAAUAUAAGAUGGACAUGCUAGUAAGGCAAGAUAAAUAAAUAAAUAAAUAGUCAAAAUAAGAACCACAAAGAACCCAAGACAAAUAAUAUCGAUUUAUGAGAUGCAGGAUAGGAUAACUAGCAAUACGAUAUUAAGGAGACCUCGAGAUAAACUAAUACUCCAUUAAGCAAAUGACCACUAUAUCAAUUCAAAUCGAAAACAUAGGACAAAACUUGGACUAAAUACAACAAAAUGUCAUCAUUCGCUGGCGCCAUCUUUAUGCUAACAAGAAACUGUCUUAACUAAGAUGAACCAGUGAGUAACAAAAAUAUUUAAUCAUCAGAUCCAUAAACAAUCAUAACCAAAAACUGCCACGACUAUGACACUAAAAUGAGAAUGAGCUUCAAAGUUCAAUUAGAACAAAGAUACAUUUUCUUGAAGAUAGCUUUAAUAAUCAGUGAUGUAGGCCAAACAAAUAAAAAUGCUGCCCUCCAAAUACUAAAGAAAACAUUCAGAUCGGAAUCAUGUUAUAGAAGACGAGAGUGAUACCACGAAGCAAACAGCAGGACAACAUACAUUCAUCUAACAAAUCAAAAACAUAGUGCGAGCAACAUUCGAGAUAUUAACCAUGGCAAGCAAGUCAUUAAAUUAAAUUUGAAAUAUCACAGAAAUGACUACGACUUGGCAUUUUUAAAGGGACAAUGUUGGUAUUCAGCUCGUACUUAGUCAGUUUCAAAGGAAAAAACCAAGAACAUUUUUUCUAAUAACAUAGAAAUCUUAACUAAAGCAUCUACUCAUGUAUGAUCAUAAUAGACGCCCAAAGAUUGACAAGAAGAACCAAAAGCUAUAACCGAGAUAAGGGCGAGAUUAUCACCUCUUUUCGGGCAGGGAAAUGGAGACAAGGCGAGCUAGCAGACGACUUCACCACGGAAAGCUCAAGCACAAACAGUAGCCAAGAAAUCUAGACAAGCAUAUCAACCUCAAACACUAAAAAAAUGAGAUUAUCUCCUCUGUUUUUCCUUAAGGUGUAUUUAGUCGGUAUUUUAGCUAAUUUUGCUGCCUUAAUUAAAAUCUUUCCAACCCCCUUACAAUGGAAGAGAAGAGAUGUAUUUAUAGGGGGAAUUAGAGUGAAAAAUGGAUAGGAAUAAGGGUCAAAAACGGAAUUCUCCUCCGAUUUCAAAAUUCAAAAUCUGGAACAGGGAGCAGCUGGGUUUGCACGAGAUUUCAUCCCAAAUCCCCCGAAAUUCAGAUGAAAGGAUCGGCAUGGACAACUUAGAUCAAACCCACCGCCCUUGUGCUCGAUAUGACGCCCAUCCUCGCGAGUGAAGGGUGAUUUUUCGUGGCUGCUGCAGGACGUAAUUGUAGGUUCGCUCCUGCUGCACUGUUUGGUGAAGAUGGUGGCAACUUUCCGUCUAUUUUGACGCGUGAAGGAGAAGAAAUCGUGUACAGGGUUGGGUCUGCGUAUUGCGCGUGCUGCUGUUGUAUUGCUAUCGUUGUUUACUGCGUAUAGCUGCUAUAACGUUGGAGUGUUGAAAGAGACCUUGCUGGGUUUCUAUUGCUGAUCAAAAUGGGCCGGGUCGAGGAAUUGGGCUGGAAAUUACUGGAAUUGGAGUGGGCUGAAAUUGGAAAUAAGAGUUGGGGGGAAUGGGUUGUUUGAAUAAAGGCAUAGGGCUGACAAUUAAGGGAAAAAUAGGCUGGAAAUUAAGGGAAAAGGCUGGCCCAAUAUCGUCCCUACGAAAGUGUUAAAGAUGAAGAAUAAAUUGCUACACAUGCAAUGGAAACAAAGACCAUUUGAGCUCGAAUAUAGCCGAUUGAAUUUUAAAAAAAUCAACCCAAUUGAACUCUAUUGAUAAAUUAAUAAAAGAUAAAAAAAAGUUUAUUAUUAAUUGAUUAACGAGCUUCUUCAUUUUAGCAAAAUGAAAAUAAUUAACUUAGUUAUAAACUGCUUAAUUUAACUACAAACUAAUUAACUCAAAAUUGUAAACUAUUAGAUGACUAAACAAAUUAUCCAAUUAUUUAAUUAACCAACAACUUUGGAGACCAUUUUUGAAUAUUUACAAAGUUCAAGAGUAUACACCUAUUAUUUAAAAAUUAUAAAAAGUGAAAAAACCAUUUAAAACUAACUUGAAAAAGUAUUUUUAAUUUUAUAAAGUCAAUCAUUUUAAAUCGUUUGAAAAUUAAGAAACUCGGAAAUUAAUUAUUAUUGGGGAGGGUCAAAAUUAGGUGUCAACACUUAGGAAUGUAUUUUUUUUGUACGAAUGUUCCACAUAAUCUUCUGGUUCUUGCUCAAUGUGAUAUAAGGCACAAACUACAUGUUGGCAAGGUAUGCCCCUCAACUGCCACAGCCUAUAUAACUACAUGCCUUUUUAGUCAUGUCAAUUAUGUGUCUAUACUCUCAUUCUUGGAUCUCAAAUCAAUGUCAUGAUUCCAAUUCACCCUUAGUGCCCUGCCAAUCUCUUUGUUUUCUUCUAAAAUCAGUUUUGACAUAUGUGAAAUGUCAUUGAUCCAAGUAUCUGCAAACUUAAUCAUAUCUCCAUGCCUAUCCAUCAUUUUAUGUCUAAUAUCUUCAAGCAUACUAAUCACAAAUUUAUGUCUAGGACCAACAAUCCAUGAAUUGAAUGUUUCACACAUAUUAUUUUCCACCACAUCACACUUUGAUCUUUCACUAAAUAAAGCUCUACAUCAGUAUCCUUUGUUAUAUCCAAGCACUGACUCACAUAUUCUAUCACCCAAUUUGGCCAUAUAGUCCAAUUCAUCUCUCAAUUUAACCUCAAAACUAGCUUUGGAACACCUCCAAAAUGCUUUUCUCCUUUCCUCAACCCUUCAUGUUUUUUUGCCAGUUUGCCCAAAUAUGUCUUGCACACAUUCUUCUUUCAACAUUAGGAAGUAAGUCUUCAACUACUAUCUCAAGACCCUAAGAAAUAUUUAAUCAAUAACUUUAAGACAUCCUUAAGAUAUCUAUUAGCACAAACAAUUUUAAGGCAUCUACUAGCACAUUUCAGUUACUUCACACACUAACAACAUCACUUACUUCACACACUAACAACAUCCACAGACAAUGGCAACAAUUAACAGAAAUAAACAAUUUUAAGGCAUCUAUUAACACCCUUCACUUACUUCACACACUAACAACAUCCACAAAUUUCCUACAUAAGGCAGUAACUAACAUUAAUAAACAAAGACAGUAAAUACCCAAAGGACAGUAACACAAGACAAUAACUAACAUAAAUAAACAAAGGCAGAAUAAAUACCUUUUGCAUGUUAGACAUGACUGUUAUGCCACUUUCAUAACCAAGUUGAAAAUCUUCAAUGAGAUAGCUUAAGAACCAACUCCAAGAGUGUUUAGUUUCUUGAUCAACCACUGCUCAAGCUAUUUGAUACAUUUGAUUGUUUCCAUUUUUUACAACAACCACUAAUAAUUCUCUUCUACAAGCACCCUUCAGAAAGCAUCUAUCUAAUCCUAUAAUCUUCCUACAACCUUCCAGCCAUCCAUUUUUCAAUGCAACAAAGCAAACAUAGAAAUAUUUGAACAAGUGUAAGCCAGAGACUGUUUCAUUAUUAGUUCUCACCCAACAAGAACUCCCAGGAUUUGUACUCUUAAUCAUAUCAACAUAGUCUAACAACCUUGAAAACUCAAGCUUCAAAUCACCCAAGAACUUGGUAAUGACAUUUAGUUUUGUCCGGUAACAUAUUGAUCUUCCCACUUUUAAUCCCCAUUCUUUUAUUAGUGUCUCUUGAAGCUUAAGAACUCUCAUGUCAGGCUGAGAUAUUAUUCUAUCACUCAUCUUUAUUUCCACAUAUUUAUUUGAGAAUAACAUGUUCCUAUUCUUUGAAAUACAUCUAUGAGCAGGAUAAUAUUUCUUUACAAAAAAAUUUCCAGAAUCUUUAUCCAAGCUUGCAAAAAUUUCCCAUUUACACUUUCCUUCACAUUUUACCCUAACUCUAUGAGGUUCAUUGGGUUUAAUCCUUAACUAAACCUUAUGUUGAACAACAUAAUCAACAACAUCCUUUCUAAAUUGAGUUGCACUCUCAAAUAUCAUAUCCAACUCAAAGAAACAAAUGGAAGAAGAAGAAUCAUACCUCAGUUUGUUGUUUUUUCUUCUUGAAGGUAAAUCAACACCUGGUUGUGCUAAAACAUCUAGCUCCUCAUCACUAUCUUCACUUGGUUCAUCUGAUGAAUCAAUAAACACUUCAUCACCUCCCAAUUUCUCAUUAUAUUUGGCUGCCUUAUUAGUGAAUACAUUCUCAAAUCCCUUAUCUAUGUCAUCUUCUCCAAGCUCAAUAUCUUGAUCCUUUAAGAGUCUUUUAGUUCUUUUUUUUUUGCUUUGCAGCUUCAUAUUUUUUCUUCCUUAAGUUUUUCUCUAAAAGCUCUCAAUUCUUCAUCAACUUCACUAAUAUCUUGAUCUGGAACAUCAUCUAUGUCAUCAUUUUCAAAGUCAAGAGAAUUACCAUUUUCUUCCUCUAAUGGCUAUUCAACUUCACCUACCCCAUUUAUACCAUGCUCAAUGUGUGAAACCCUAGAGCAAUUUCUCAGUUCUUGAUUAUAUUUUUCAACAGAAAAUGGUCCCAAAGUAGGUGUAGCAGUGGACCCCCCUUCUUUAACAAUCACAUGCUUCAAAAACAACUUAAAAGAUGACCCACUCCACAAAUCUUUAACAAAGUUAUAUAGUUGGCUGUCACUUUCUAACUUGACAAAAUUAUGGGUAAUAGGGUCUUCAGUAUAAAAGCAUCAACUUCAUCAUACCCAAUGUCUUUUGCAUACGAUUUCAGUUCGGUCAAAGAGAAGUGGUCCUUAUCUAUGCUAAAUACGAUGCUUCCCAAUUUUGACACAUAUUAACCUUUAUAAAAGCAACCUCCAUGGUGAAAAUAGUUAUAAUAUGUAUAAAGCUGUAAGAAAAUAACGAUUUUACACUCAUGGUGACAAAAAGAUUCUACCUUGUAUCAAAGAUAAACUUUCAAAAGAGCGAAAUUGAGGCAUACCUGAACUAAAUCGAGGAAAAUGAACAGAUGAACAUCAGCUUCAGCAGAAAUCUUGAACGAUUUUUCCCUUUGAUUCCCAGAUUUUGAUUCACCAGAUAACCUAGGAUUUUGACCUUUGAGAUGAUUUUGAUUCACAAUCGGGUGAAAUGAAAAUGUUUUUACCCUUUACCCUUGUAUAUUAAUUGAAAUUAAUUUUAAUUUUUUUUAGUUUUAUAAUCGACGUGUAAAAAAUUUAAUUAGUUGGCAGCCAUUGAGUGGCUCACUAAUACACAUGGGAGCAUUUGCAUUUCAUGCUCUUUGGCUCCAAAAAUCGCGUGUUUAUUUAUUUAAAAGUUGGAUAGUUAAAGUGUCUGUUUGUGCAUUAUGAAAGUUGAAGGUCAAAGUUAAAAUUUGAAGCCAAGUUUAGGGUCCAAUAUAUAUAUUAUGCCUUUAUUUUAAUGCCUCCACUAGUGGUGACAAAUGAGCGAAUUGAAUCGAAUUUAGAUGGAUUGAAAAUUAAUUGAGCUAAAAUGAAUUGGAUCACUAUCCACCUAUAUAAGUAUGGGUAAAAUAUGGAUUGGAUUGAAUAAAAUGGUCCUAACUCACUUUGACUCUUAGGGGUCGUUUGGUGUGAUGGACAAGAGGAUUUAAUCCAGGGAUAAUUUUUAAGUGGUCUUUAAUAAGUUGUUUAGUUGCUAAGGGUGGAAUAACUUAUCCUAGGAUUAAUAAUUAGUCCUAGGAUAAGUUAUCCCUCCCUGGGGGUGGAAUAAUAAUCUCAGUACAACUUAUCCUGGGAUUAGUAGGUAAAAUAACAAAAAUACCCUUAUUAAACUCCACUUUUAUACACCACUUUAUUUUUUAAAAAAAUAAUUAACUUUUGGACUCAAGGUCCAUUUAUUAAUAAUAGAGAUAAGCCCAAAUCAAUUAGGGAUUACAACGUAUAAGCCAACCCAAAAUGAUCAGCUAUUUGAUAAAAGAACAAAACAAAUCCCUAAAAUGUAGGGUUUCCUAAUCCGCCCCUUAGCACUUUCUCUCUUCCACUCUCCUAGUUUCCGCCGCUGAGCAUGUUCAUUGAAUUCUCUCCAAGCUUAAGUUUUCGCCUCUUGUCGUUGUGGGUGUCUAACUACCUUCAUCCCCUUGUGGUGUGUUGUCUCCUGCUCAGCAGCAGAAGUAAGUUCCUUGUCCCUCUGUCUCUCCUUACUUUCCUAGCAUCACUCUUUGUUCUUUUCAGGUGUGAAUCCUGAUGGAGGUCGCUGAGCUUGGUUGAAGCUCGAAAGAGGGUUGUGACCUUGUAUUUCAGCUUCGAGAAUCCGUGUAAGUUUGUUCUUAUUCCCCAUUUUAGUUCCUCCUUUCUCUCUAUCACUGAUCCUAUCUUGAUGUUCAACUUAGUUGAUAUUGGAGAUGACCAGGAUGCUCCCGGGCCUCUUAUUCUCAACUCCUCAGUUGUGUACUCAUUCAAUGUUGUCGAUCUGGUUCCACAACCUUCGCUUUUUGCUAGUGUCCAUUUUUGUGUGCUGACAUAGCCUAGUGUCACGAACUUAGAGUCUUACUAAUGUUCCGUGUGGCACUUGACAACUUACUCACGAAUCUUUCACGAUCUUGUAAGCUCAAGUAAGCCCUUUGAAACUAAGAUCCCUAAGAGUGUCACGCCCCGAGCCUACACCCUGGGCGGGACCGGCACUCGGAGACCAUGCUGGCCCCAAGCGAACCCUUGGCCUGACUUUCUUAACUCAGCGGAAACCUAACUCAACAGAAUAACUUAAUGCCAUGCAAAGACAUAAAACAACUUAACUGAUGAAAAUCUGGCCCAAAAGGGCAACUCGAGUCUCAAAAUAGAAUAUUUACAUAUAUACAUAGAUGAGAGACUCAAAUACUAACUGACUGACUGUCUAUGAAGCCUCUACAAUACUGAGAUGGAUGUUGGGACAGACCCCAGAACAUCCUAAUUAAAACAAACAAAAAGAACAAAACAACCGAAGUCCUCCGGAAAGCAAAGGAGGCUCACCACUGACUCUAGAGUGCUCAACUGGAUCAACGACGUGCAGAAUGCUGAUCUGUGGUACCUGUGUCUGCAUCGUCAUAAGAUGCAGGCCAACUGGCAUCAGUACAUGGAAUGUACGAGUAUGCAAGCUGGAAAGCUAANNNNNNNNNNNNNNNNNNNNNNNNNNNNNNNNNNNNNNNNNNNNNNNNNNNNNNNNNNNNNNNNNNNNNNNNNNNNNNNNNNNNNNNNNNNNNNNNNNNNNNNNNNNNNNNNNNNNNNNNNNNNNNNNNNNNNNNNNNNNNNNNNNNNNNNNNNNNNNNNNNNNNNNNNNNNNNNNNNNNNNNNNNNNNNNNNNNNNNNNNNNNNNNNNNNNNNNNNNNNNNNNNNNNNNNNNNNNNNNNNNNNNNNNNNNNNNNNNNNNNNNNNNNNNNNNNNNNNNNNNNNNNNNNNNNNNNNNNNNNNNNNNNNNNNNNNNNNNNNNNNNNNNNNNNNNNNNNNNNNNNNNNNNNNNNNNNNNNNNNNNNNNNNNNNNNNNNNNNNNNNNNNNNNNNNNNNNNNNNNNNNNNNNNNNNNNNNNNNNNNNNNNNNNNNNNNNNNNNNNNNNNNNNNNNNNNNNNNNNNNNNNNNNNNNNNNNNNNNNNNNNNNNNNNNNNNNNNNNNNNNNNNNNNNNNNNNNNNNNNNNNNNNNNNNNNNNNNNNNNNNNNNNNNNNNNNNNNNNNNNNNNNNNNNNNNNNNNNNNNNNNNNNNNNNNNNNNNNNNNNNNNNNNNNNNNNNNNNNNNNNNNNNNNNNNNNNNNNNNNNNNNNNNNNNNNNNNNNNNNNNNNNNNNNNNNNNNNNNNNNNNNNNNNNNNNNNNNNNNNNNNNNNNNNNNNNNNNNNNNNNNNNNNNNNNNNNNNNNNNNNNNNNNNNNNNNNNNNNNNNNNNNNNNNNNNNNNNNNNNNNNNNNNNNNNNNNNNNNNNNNNNNNNNNNNNNNNNNNNNNNNNNNNNNNNNNNNNNNNNNNNNNNNNNNNNNNNNNNNNNNNNNNNNNNNNNNNNNNNNNNNNNNNNNNNNNNNNNNNNNNNNNNNNNNNNNNNNNNNNNNNNNNNNNNNNNNNNNNNNNNNNNNNNNNNNNNNNNNNNNNNNNNNNNNNNNNNNNNNNNNNNNNNNNNNNNNNNNNNNNNNNNNNNNNNNNNNNNNNNNNNNNNNNNNNNNNNNNNNNNNNNNNNNNNNNNNNNNNNNNNNNNNNNNNNNNNNNNNNNNNNNNNNNNNNNNNNNNNNNNNNNNNNNNNAAAUGAAAGGGGACACUUGGUGUCCUUGGCGCUCUGCAAGGCGGGGAGCGCCAGCCCCAAAAUUUCAGAGGAGGCCUGUUGGCGCUCUGAGAGGCGCGCCGCCCAAGGGAAAAAAUUCAGAACCCCUUUUGGGGUGCGCUCGCAGGCGCGACGCGCCAGCCCCUCGCCCAGAAAACUUGAUCCAAUCAUGUCCCAAACCAACAAGAACUUCUACACAACCCAACUACAACUUCAACAACAUUAACAACACAACACAACUAACAACUUUAGCAACUCCAACAACUUCAACCACAACAACUAACAACUUUAUCAACAAGGCCAAUCCUUUCUUGAUAAGAAAAAAAGGCAAGGUGUGUGGGGGAAAGGAUCACCCAACACUAAAAGCUCACAUACCUUGAUAGGGAUCACCCCCGACGAAAAUCCACGAUGAUCUUGACGGAACUUGCUUGAUCUUCCUCUUUCUUCCCUUCUUCUUCUCCUUCUCCUUCUUCUCUUCUUCCUCUCUUCUUCACUCUCAAGCCCUAGCCUUCACUCUCUUAAAAUGGAUAAAUGAUCCAAAUAUCAGCCUAACACUACAAUAUAUCUUCAAAAGAAAUAGCUAGGGAAAAGACCAAAAUGCCCUUAAUGAUUCCCGGACGGAAUUCCUUGUCAACUGCCCAACUUUCAAAGGGCAUAACUCGCUCAUACGAACUCGAAAUCGAGCAAACUCGGUGGAGUUGGAAAUAUAGGCUCACGAAAUUUGCAACCAUAACUGGAACUCCACCUAAAUCAUCCUGAGCUAGAAUUUAUGGCUGUUCAAAGUUGGCCAAAAAUUCACAUUUUUCCAUACUUGGCCAAAAUUUCCAAAACUUUAAAAUUCUUUCCAAAAAUGAAAAUUACCAAUUCUAAGCCUCUUCAAUUAUUUCACAUUGCCGGAUGUUACAAAGAGAAUGCAAAGAAAGACUUAGAAAGAUUUGGAAAGUUUAGAAGAAGGCUUGUAUUAAGUUUGGAAGAUUGCUUACACUUGAAUGGUUGCUUUCUUUAUUGGUGCUUAGCAAAUGAAUGGCACCACCUAUUUAUACUAACUCCUAGGGACUAAAGUACAAUUUUAAAUUACUUUCUAAGUC
rnacentral:lncRNA from 1 species